CGCAUCUGUGCAUGCAGCAUAUCAAUAAGCGGAGGAAAAGAAACUAACAAGGAUUCCCUUAGUAACGGCGAGUGAAGCGGGAAGAGCUCAAAUUUGAAAUCUUCAAGGUUUUACCUUGACGAAUUGUAGUUUAAAGAAGUGUUUUCUGUUGAAGUUUUGGUAAAAGUUCUUUGGAAUAGGACAUCAUAGAGGGUGAGAAUCCCGUAUUUGACCAUUAUUUUCAGCUGUGUGAUACACUUUCAAAGAGUCGGAUUGUUUGGGAAUGCAGUCCAAAAUGGGUGGUAAAUUUCAUCUAAAGCUAAAUAGUUGGCGAGAGACCGAUAGCGAACAAGUACCGUGAGGGAAAGAUGAAAAGAACUUUGAAAAGAGAGUUAAACAGUACGUGAAAUUGUCAAAAGGGAAGCGUUUGACACCAGUGUUGUUUUCUCGAAAAUCAAUUAAAAAGAGUUUGAUUUUGUUGUGUAUUGACCUUAACAGCUUGCAUUUCAAUUUUCUUGCUUUUUUUAAUGCACUUUUCGUUUAACAAGUCAACAUCAGUUUCUUUUGUUGUAAAAAGGUCAUUGGAAGGUGGCUUUCUUUUCGGAGAAAGUGUUUAUAGCCUUUGACUCCUGCAAUCGGAGAGACUGAGGUCUGCAGCGUAGAUCCUUCGGGGUUAGAUACAUUUGUGCUAAGUUAUAGCUUUUUAUAGACAACUUGUUGACUAUGAUUAGUCUUGUAGCUUACUCGCUUAUGCUAUUUUACCUACGCUUAGGAUGUUGACACACGCGCGUGCUCG
rnacentral:rRNA from 1 species